UACGGAGGAUCCGAGCGUUAUCCGGAUUUAUUGGGUUUAAAGGGUGCGCAGGCGGGAGAUUAAGUCGGCGGUGAAAUUUUGCAGCUCAACUGUAAAAGUGCCUUCGAAACUGGUUUCCUUGAGUGUGGAUGAAGUAGGCGGAAUUUGUGGUGUAGCGGUGAAAUGCAUAGAUAUCACGAGGAACUCCGAUUGCGCAGGCAGCUUACUAAACCAUAACUGACGCUCAGGCACGAAGGCGUGGGGAUCAAACAGGAUUAGAUACCCGUGUA
rnacentral:rRNA from 1 species